rnacentral:misc_RNA from 1 species
GCCUUGAUUGCACUCAGCAAUUGUAAUGAGGCAACAUGCCUCUCCUCUGGUGGUUCGGUUUCCUCAGAAACCAGGGCAGCAAGCUUGCCCCUUUUGGGACACUCAAAUGCUCUAUGAGGCCCAUUACAGAUGAAGCAAGUAAAUUUGGCUCUAGGAGACUCACCUUCUUUCUCCUUAGCCUUGUCCCUCGCCCCUUUGUUCCACCGGUUGUCCUUGCCCUGCUUGGACUUGUCUCCACCUCCGGCUUUGUGGCUUCGGUCUGGUUUCUUUCCCUUAUCCUUGCUGGGCUCCUUCUUCUUGAAUUCGAUAAGGGAUUCAGCAGCUGCCAUUGCGGUGGCAAGGUCUUGCA